UACGUAGGGUCCGAGCGUUGUCCGGAAUUAUUGGGCGUAAAGAGCUCGUAGGCGGCCAGUUGCGUCUGCUGUGAAAUCCCGGGGCUCAACCCCGGGCGUGCAGUGGAUACGGGCUGGCUAGAGGCAGGCAGGGGAGAACGGAAUUCCCGGUGUAGCGGUGAAAUGCGCAGAUAUCGGGAGGAACACCGGUGGCGAAGGCGGUUCUCUGGGCCUGUACUGACGCUGAGGAGCGAAAGCGUGGGGAGCGAACAGG
rnacentral:rRNA from 1 species